UACGGAGGGGGCUAGCGUUGUUCGGAAUUACUGGGCGUAAAGCGCGCGUAGGCGGACCUGCAAGUCGGGGGUGAAAGCCCGAGGCUCAACCUCGGAACUGCCUUCGAUACUGCGGGUCUCGAGUCCGGGAGAGGUGAGUGGAAUUCCUAGUGUAGAGGUGAAAUUCGUAGAUAUUGGGAGGAACACCAGUGGCGAAGGCGGCUCACUGGACUGGUACUGACGCUGAUGCGCGAAAGCGUGGGGAGCAAACAGG
rnacentral:rRNA from 1 species